AGUGAAGUAAUCAAGGUGAUAUAUUAAUUUGCAAAAUUAAUCUAGAUGGUUCGACUCUAUCACUUCAUUA
rnacentral:tRNA from 1 species